rnacentral:lncRNA from 1 species
UGUAUCUUCUAUUAGAAGUGCCUGCUCUCUUUCAGACAUGCUCAUCCCAGGACCUCGGCAUCCAGAAUGUGGUGCUUCUUCUUCUCAAGCCUUUGUUAAUGCCAAAUUAUUUCAAGCAAAAAAAAAAAAAUAAUAAAAAGGGAGAAUCUCUUUUUAGAUUUAGCCUUUGUUGAACAGUGCUGCCAGAAAUCCUGCAUGUUGUCUGAGCUGGCUUUUUGCAAUGGCUUCUCGGUGGUACUGCUGUGGCAGCGGGGAAACAGAUGUCAUCAAGUGCAAGCAGUGUUUGUGGCUUGAUCCCCUGUAAGUAUCCAAAGACUCCAGAGCUGGGUAGCUUCUGAGCUGCAAGGCCCAUAUCCCACCACUCCUUGAGUUAGAGAUCAGCAUGGAAUUGUUUUCUGCUUUAUCACCAUAGAGGCAAGUGCUUCAGAGUAAGUUGUGACAGUGCUUUGUUCUCUGAUACUUAAGAUGCAGAAUGGAUGCUCUGCUGUUGGCAUUUUCCCUGUGGAGAGAUGAGCUAUGAGAAUUACUUCACCUGGAUCCCCUUUUGGGCAGGUGAACCCUGUUAAUUCUUUGGUGUUGUAGGAUGAGCUGUAAAAUCAUUGUCAUGUUUUGUAGCUUUCAUGGAUGGAGAAGUGGGAGUUUCACAAAUAAAGACUGUUCUGCCUCUGAGCGUGUCAGGCUUUCGAGCUGAAUAAUUAAGCACUGUUUUGCAUUAAGUAGAGCAGACCUUGCUGCAUGAGGACACAGUUCUCAGUCACAAGGAAGAUGGACUGAAGCUUUUCUUGGUGAACUAAAUGUAUUCAGGUUGUGUGGCCUCAUCCUGCCUCCUUAAGAUGCCAUCGUUACCCAUGUUGAAUUAUUCAUACCCUUCAUUUUCUAGGGAUGCCGCGUUUGUAGGUGCAAUCCAUAAAAAGCAAAGAGAAUGUGUUGCUGAAGGUGGUAUCUGCUGUAUGGUCUUUCCUGCUGGGGUGGCUGAGCGUAGCAGCAGGAGUUGCAUUUGGGAAAGAGCUCCCUCCUCUUUCCCCAUCAGCCUUUUGAUGGGUUCAUACAGGAUUUCCCGACGAGUCUGUGCUGAAGGGAUGGGGGGACACUGCGGGCUGCCCCUGUACCCCUUUGUGCAGGGGGUUUGGCCUUCACCCGAUGGUGGCACAACCCAGCGCUGCCUUUUGACUUAUAUACGAGUUCAGAGGCAGCAUGCGGAUCCCAUCCCGUUGCCGGAUCAGCCCCGUGGCGCCGGGGGACAUCCCGGGGUGCGCUUCCCUUUCCACCCUUAGCCCUCGGAGCCCUCCACCCAGUCCCUCCAUGUCCGUAGCCAGCAAGGUGAGUUUGCCAUCCUGUUCCUGCUUGUUUGGGCUACAUUUGUGUGUUGUGGAUUUUCUUCUGAAGCUGUUUACUUAUUUGGGAACAACUCUUGAGCGGCUCCGGAGUGAAAAUUCAUCGUUGUGGUAUUUUUAGCUUAUUUUUCUAAGGAAAGAAGCAGACAUGAUUGGGUGCUCUUGCUCUCCCUCUGUAACCUCUGGAUUCAUUCGUCUUUUCAAUGGCAUUUGCCCCAACGGUCGAAGUUUCCUACACAUAAAGUUCUGUGCAAAUACAAACUGAGUAGAGGCCGUUGGUGUCUCAGCUAAGGACAAAGCUAAUGAAUGUACCCCAUACUAUACAUUGCAAAAUCCACACAGGAUAUUGUCACAGGAAACAGCUUCAUAGGUUUGCUGCUCACAGAAUGUUUCUUCCUCUGAUCCUCCCCAGUAGGCUGGGGGAGAGCUGCUGGCUUGGGUUUUUUGCCUUCUGUAAAAUAGGCUGGAAUCUGAAAGCCCAUCGUGCUUGGGAGGGACUGUCUUGCGUCCCACAAUGCUUUAGUUGCCGUGCUGCAGUCUAAUCUUUGUUAUUGUGCCUGGGACAGUUUUGUUCCUUUUUAGUAAUAAUGUUUACACUUGUGGGCAGUUGAUGUCCCUUUCAUCUUCACCACUUCCUCAAAUCUCACAGCAAGCAUGGAUUUAUUAGCUGGCAGCAUGUGGCGCAUGCCCGUGGAGAGCUGGGGGAUGCAGGCAGGGCUGGGGCUCCUCUCCAGCGAGCAGCAAGGUGCCUGUGACCUUGAGGUGUGGUGCUGGGACUAAUUAGUACCACACCAUGUGUCAUUCUGGGCGUGCAUGUCCUCCUCCUAGGAGCUGGUGAGUAUUUACAGCCAUAAGGAUUUUGUGUGGUGCAGCUCUGGUGUUGCUCCCUGCCACUGCUAUGGUGUUUGGUGGCUGAGUUGUGAGGGUGGGGAUUGAUCAGAGCAUCGUGGUUUCCAUUCUUUGGAAGGCCCAGUUAAAUAUCUGGUUUCAGAGGUUGGUCGGAGUUGAGAAAGUUCUGCUCUAUUGGUAGAUCUGUUCUGAAGUAGUCUUGCUGCUUUCUUACAUCUGUCAGUGUAAUCUCUUGAAUAAGAUGCUGAAACUACCUGAAAGGCUUUUCCCCUUGGAAUUGUCUUUUCCUUUCCCUGUGCUAAGAGCCACCGGUGGAACUGAGGGAACAGGAUUGUCAAUCAGACGGUGCGAGCAGUUCAGGAAAUGUAACUUCCCACUGCAGAAGCUUUAUUAACCCUAUGCAGCAUUCUAUGGCUGUUGGGGAAGAAGUGUGCCCAUCUAAACUGAGCUAUGAUGAGCAAUGGUUUAACUGGAAAAAAACCUCUGUCAACUUAAAACAAAAUCAUAAGAUGGAGGCUCCACUUCCAGACUGUCUUUAUAUCAACCAGAUUUUUUAUUAGCAAGGAGGAAUUACAGGGGAGAGGUGAGAUGCCAGCUUGGAAAUGGGAAGCCAGAUGCUGCGCUGCCUUCCUGAACUCCUGCUGGAGUAGUUCCUGGCUUUACUUGUGUAAUCUUUACUAGUUCUCAUGGUCAUUUUUAGUAGUUAUGGAUGGUCCUUUCCCUGGUCUGUGCCUUGCAAUGUUAUUUGGUCCAUCAUUUUUCUGCUGACCGAGGGCAACUUUGUUUAAACGUAACUUUUUGAGUAGUUGAUGCUUGUCCUGCCUGCUGCCUCCUUUUGAACGUGACCAUUUUGUU